rnacentral:lncRNA from 1 species
CACUGAUCUAAUUUCCGUUCACCCCAUUGGACUUCAUUUGAAUUACUGACUCUCAGAAACCAAUCCUUCCCUCCCUUGGUAGGAGUGGGCUAGGAACGGAAGGCGUCUUUCCAUAGAUCUAAAGAAAAAUUCUUGGCUUUGAAAGGGAUUCUGUUUGUCUCCGCGUUUAUGAGAUCGGUGGGAUCUAAGUUCCCUAGUGGACCAAGGCAUUGGAGAUGGGGUU